AACGCACCUUGCGCUCCUUGGUAUUCCGAGGAGCAUGCCUGUUUGAGUGUCAUUAAAUUCUCAACCUUACCAACUUUGUUGUCUGGUAAAGGCUUGGAUGUGGGGGUUUUGCUGGCUUCGUCAAGAGGUCGGCUCUCCUUAAAUGUAUUAGCUGGUGCCCCGUGUGGAGCGUCCAUUGGUGUGAUAAUUAUCUACGCCGUCGGAUGUCUGCUUUAAAGGGUGUGCGCUGCUUCUAACCGUCUUCAUUGACAACGAUGGUGUUCCGGUCGCCGCCGAUUUUUCGGUGGGAGGCUUGACCCACGAAACAAACCUUGACCUCAAAUCGGGUGAGACUACCCGCUGAACUUAA
rnacentral:rRNA from 1 species